rfam:Shinella sp. HZN7, complete genome.
AUCGGCAUUGCUGAUGAGCGCUGGAAGAUUUCUGCCGCUCGCAAUCGCCACAAUCGCUUCAUGCUUUUGACCACGGAUGUACUGGCACUGGUAGACAAGCGAUUAUGAGGAAGGUCGGUGCGGUUUCGCCCCGGCCUUUUUUGUU